rnacentral:rRNA from 1 species
AGUGAACGCUGGCGGUAGGCCUAACACAUGCAAGUCGAACGGCAGCACAGUAAGAGCUUGCUCUUACGGGUGGCGAGUGGCGGACGGGUGAGGAAUACAUCGGAAUCUACUUUUUCGUGGGGGAUAACGUAGGGAAACUUACGCUAAUACCGCAUACGACCUACGGGUGAAAGCAGGGGAUCUUCGGACCUUGCGCGAUUGAAUGAGCCGAUGUCGGAUUAGCUAGUUGGCGGGGUAAAGGCCCACCAAGGCGACGAUCCGUAGCUGGUCUGAGAGGAUGGUCAGCCACACUGGAACUGAGACACGGUCCAGACUCCUACGGGAGGCAGCAGUGGGGAAUAUUGGACAAUGGGCGCAAGCCUGAUCCAGCCAUACCGCGUGGGUGAAGAAGGCCUUCGGGUUGUAAAGCCCUUAUGUUGGGAAAGAAAAGCAGCAGGUUAAUACCCCGCUGUUCUGACGGUACCCAAAGAAUAAGCACCGGCUAACUUCGUG